GAUAGAUAGAUAGAUACAGUGGCGGAAAUAAGCAUUGGACGCGUCAACAUUUAUUUCAGUCAAUAUAUUUCCAAUGACGUCGUUCACAUGAAAUUUUCACCAGACGUCAGAAUCAACUCAAGAACUCCGGAAAUAUAAAGAAUUCACGACAUUAAAGUCCAUAAAUAAAGUUGUGUGUAAUAAAGUGGAAUGACACGGGAAAAACGUAUUGAACACGCCUACAUUGGGCCUUUAGAACACAUUCAUAAGCACUGAAGAACCUUUCUAUUCAGCUGUCGAAGUCCUAUAGCUUGUGAUGGUGUUAUGAACGCCCAAUGUCAGGAUCUGAGAAUUUUUUUUCCCCCCCUGUGUCAGACUCUUUUGGUUGGGUAUGGUUCUCGUCUCAGCCCAGACGGAGACGUCAUUGAAUGUUUUUAAACAACGAGAGCAACAUCAAUGCUAGACUCCCAGAAAAAGAAAGAAAAAAAAAAAAGGUUAUUAGAUGAAUAUUUACAGCGUUUCAAAUUUUGGUCACAGAUAUCAAAGAAGCAACUGUUCCGUUUUUUUCGAAGAGAAAGAAACCAUCGGCCUACGCUUUAGUUUAGGAUAAUGUAUUUAUACAGACUGAGAGGAUGUGUUCGGGUGUGAUUUUUAUUUCGAGUUAAGUUCUGUUCAUAUUUAGCUCUGCUGAUUCAUCUGCGGGGAGACGUUAGUGAUGCGCGCCGAGAUCUGAGGUCGUAUACUGCGUUCGAGGUGAAGUCGUGACCUGUACUUCGCCGUCUACAGCUGCUAAGAAUGCCCCCUCGACGAAGAGUUCCUUCCCUGUUCACCGAGUGACGUCAAACCAACACGGCUGCUCAUUUACACUGUGACCGGUGUAAAGUGCCCUUCUCUACUUUUAAUGAGUUUCUAACAGUAUUGGCUUUAGAUCGGUUUAUACAGUGGAUCUGAAAAGUCCACACACCCCUGUUAAAAUGGCAGGUUUUUUGUGAUGUAAAAAAAUGAAACCACGAUAAAUCACGUCAGAACCUUUUUUUAACAUUGUUGUAAAAUUCUACCUUCGACUUGUUUUGCUGAAGCCGUUCCUUUGUUGAUCUGGAGGAUUGCUGUGUGUCAUUGUCAUGCUGAAAGGUUCGAUUCCUCUUCAUCUUAAGUGUUUUAACAGAAACAAUUAUCAAACACAACACAGGUUUAUCCCAAAAAGGUGUGCAGCAAUUAUUGGCUCCCCUAUGAAUUCAUAUGAGUAUAUUCCCAUUGAUAUUCCCAACUGAGGUUGUAAUCCCUGCAGAACUCCAGCCAGUGAUCAACGUGGUGACGUUAUCUCCUGAGUCCCAGUGUGAGACCAAUGAAUGGUCUAUCCAGCCAUGAUCCUGAUAGAGGUCACAGAGGCGACCUCUCGGGUUCAGUUCUAGUUAGAGAUUGACGGCACAGCCUACCAAGUCCUGUUCUUGCCGGAGGCUGACAAGAUGGCCCACCAAGCCAUGUUCCAGUCAGAGGCCGAGGAGAUGGCCCACCAAGCCAUGUUCCAGUCAGAGGCCGACAAGAGGGUCCAUCAAGCCAUGUUCCAGUCAAAGGCCGAGGAGAUGGCCCACCAAGCCAUGUUCCAGUCAGAGGCCGAGGAGAUGGCCCACCAAGCCAUGUUCCAGUCAGAGGCCGACAAGAGGGUCCAUCAAGCCAUGUUCCAGUCAGAGGCCGACAAGAGGGUCCAUCAAGCCAUGUUCCAGUCAGAGGCCGACAAGAUGGCCCACCACACUCUGCUCAUGUCUGAGGCUGACGACACGGCCCAUCAAGCUCUGCUCAUGCCUGAGGCUAACGAGAUGGCUGACCAAGCUUUGCUCACGCCUGAGGCUGACAACACAGCAUCUCAAGCCAGUUUCCAGCCUAAGAAGCAUGGCGAUCAUGUCCCAGCCCAGCCUUCUGAUCCUGGCGAGCCUGUUGCUGACACACCACCUGCUUUUUACAUGUAUGCCCAAUUACUAAAACAAUGCCUGCCUCAGGACUAUAAGUUUAGUGUGGACAUUUUGCCCAGAGGGCAGGACCGCUGAGGGAGAGGUUUUUGGGUGCUUGCGGGGGGGCACUCUGUCACGGAUUUCCCCUCCUCGAUAUAUUGUAAUUUCACAAUAAAGUUGAAAAAAGGUUCUGACAUGAUUUAACUUGCAUCACAAAAACCUGCCAUUUUAACAGGGGUGUGUAAACUUUUUAUAUUCACCCAGUACUUGGUUAAAUCGAUAGCAUUGAACAUACAACUAACACACACACACUUUAACUUACUACUUGCUAUUAUCUGCUGGCUGUUUUGUUGCUAACACUACUCGUUAUUGUCCACUGGCUAGCUUGUCGCUAGCACUACUCGAUAUUGUCCACUGGCUAGCUUGUCGCUAGCACUGCUCGAUAUUGUCCACUGCCUAGCUUGUCGCUAGCACUACUCGAUAUUGUCCACUGGCUAGCUUGUCGCUAACACUACUCGAUAUUGGCCACUGGCUAGCUUGUCGCUAACACUACUCGAUAUUGGCCACUGGCUAGCUUGUCGCUAGCACUACUCGAUAUUGGCCACUGGCUAGCUUGUCGCUAACACUACUCAAUAUUGGCCACUGGCUAGCUUGUCGCUAACACUACUCGCUAUUGGCCACUGGCUAGCUUGUCGCUAACACUACUCGCUAUUGGCCACUGGCUAGCUUGUCGCUAACACUACUCGAUAUUGUCCACUGGCUAGCUUGUCGCUAACACUACUCGAUAUUGUCCACUGGCUAGCUUGUCGCUAACACUACUCGCUAUUGUCCACUGGCUAGCUUGUCGCUAACACUACUCGUUAUUGUCCACUGGCUAGCUUGUCGCUAACACUACUCGCUAUUGUCCACUGGCUAGCUUGUCGCUAACACUACUCGCUAUUGUCCACUGGCUAGCUUGUCGCUAACACUACUCGCUAUUGUCCACUGGCUAGCUUGUCGCUAACACUACUCGCUAUUGUCCACUGGCUAGCUUGUCGCUAACACUACUCGCUAUUGUCCACUGGCUAGCUUGUCGCUAACACUACUCGCUAUUGUCCACUGGCUAGCUUGUCGCUAGCACUACUCGAUAUUGUCCACUGGCUAGCUUGUCGCUAGCGCUACUCGAUAUUGUCCACUGGCUAGCUUGUCGCUAGCGCUACUCGAUAUUGUCCACUGCCUAGCUUGUCGUUAGCGCUACUCGAUAUUGUCCACUGGCUAGCUUGUCGCUAGCGCUACUCGAUAUUGUCCAUUCGCUAGCUUGUCGCUAGCACUACUCGAUAUUGUCCACUGGCUAGCUUGUCGCUAACACUACUCGCUAUUGUCCACUGGCUAGCUUGUCGCUAACACUACUUGCUAUUGUCCACUGGCUAGCUUGUCGCUAGCACUACUCGAUAUUGUCCAUUCGCUAGCUUGUCGUUAGCACUACUCGAUAUUGUCCACUGGCUAGCUUGUCGCUAGCACUACUCGAUAUUGUCCAUUCGCUAGCUUGUCGCUAGCACUACUCGAUAUUGUCCACUGGCUAGCUUGUCGCUAGCACUACUCGAUAUUGUCCACUGGCUAGCUUGUCGCUAACACUACUCGAUAUUGUCCACUGGCUAGCAUUAUAUAGCUUUGAACCACUGUCUAGAUGACGCUAUUCCACGUGCAUUUCUUACAACAUUACAACAUCUGAGCAAUUUGUCUUUCUAUCAUUUAACAUUUGAACACUUUUCUCUGUAGAACUCCUGUCAUGCUUUAGACUUUCCGUAACUAAGUUCCCUUAACUAGCCUUAUUUUCUGGCGAAAAAGAUCAAAUGGAAUUUGGAAAUGAAAAAAAAAGAAUCGAAAAGUCAUUCAUUGGAAACUUAAAGAUUCCUAGCUUCCCAAAGGGUUCUACUUGGAACCCUCUCUGAUAUACAAACACUACGUUCUACCCAAACCGAACAACCUUUCAGGGUUCUAGAGUGAACCUCUGUUUCUAAUACUGUACGACCUGAAGUAUGCAGUGACCUGGCUCGAUGAGGUGUCGUACGUAGGACCGGUCUGAUCCCGUUACUGUGGCUUCACUGAUGUCACUUUCAUCACGCGUUCAUCCGUGUCUUAUGCUUCGUCCUCCCUCCUCUUCGUCAUUGUUGAAUUCUACCCCUCUGUGACAGAGAGAGAGAGAGAUACAGGGAAAGAGAGACAUAGAGGGGAGAGAGAGAGAGAGAGAGAGAGAGAGAGAGAGAGGAGAGAAAAAUACAUAGAAGGAGAGAUAGAGAGAGAAAAUAGAGGAAAGGACAGUUGAAGAGAAAUAUUAGAUAGAUAGAUAGAGAGAGAAAGAGGGUGAGAGAGAUGCAGAGAGACAUAAAUAGACAGAAAGACUUCGAUGAGAGACAUAGAAGGAGAGUGAGAGAAUAGAUGACGAGAGAGAGAGAGCUCUGAUUGGUUACUUUUCCCUGUGGGUGUCAGAUUCUGCCCUCUUCACAUGUUCACACAUCCUUGCCCACACACACACACACACACACACACACACACACACACACACACACACACACACACACACUGGAUUGACUAGCGCUGUUUCUUAAAUAAGUAAGUGAUGAGAUUGUCUUCUGAAACAGUGUGUGUGUGUGUGUUUGUGUGUGUGUGUGUGUGUGUGUUUGAUUCAGUAAUGAACUCUACUGCCAUAUCACACUGACAAGGUCAUGGCUGGGUGUUAUUUUCGGCCAUGCGGUAUUGCUAUGAUACAGAUUACUGCUCACGUCAUCUAUUUCACUCCUCAUCUCUGCAUUUCAUUUAUCUGUCCAUCUUUCAUGUCGUCUUUUUCCCUCUGUCCCUUUUCCCUCAUCUAUCAUUUCCUUUACCUGUCUGGAGAAGGGAAGCAGAAUACUUAUCUCCUUUCUUGUCAAGUUUUCUCCAGCAUCCUCCACGCUCUCUCUCUCUCUCUCUCUCUCUCUCUCGCUAUCUCUCUCUUUUUUUCCCUUGCUCUCUGUCUCGCGUUCUCUCUCUCUAUCUCUCUGUUUCUUUCUCUCUCUGUCUCUCGCGUUCUCUCUCUCUCUCUCUCUCUCUCUCUCUCUCUCUCUCUCUCUCUCUCACCCCGCUCCCCCCAUGGCCACAUUUUGUACUGGAACUGAAAUGGACUUAAGUGGGAUUUUUUCCAUUAGAUUUACCCAGUGUGUUUUACAUUUGAA
ensembl:lncRNA